AAAGCAACUGCUCUUCUUAAACUCAACAUAAACUUUUCCUCCUGUUAGUGAUGUCGCUACUUACUCUGCCAUGGCUUCCCUUCAGCAUAAGUUACAACAUUAGUGUUCACAGUUUAAAUUACCAGUAUAAGUGUGUCUUAGAAAGUUUGAAAAAUGAACAGGACUUUUGCUUGAUGAGCAUAUCAUUUUAAUGAGCAAAUCUUAGUACAAGAAUCUGCUGAACUCCAAUUAUAAGGCAGGAAGAAAUGUCAUGUGUUCACAGGAAGAUUCAGUACUACCUUUGUAUCUAUUGGAGACUGCAUUGUACCCAAGACCUUCAGCUUAGUAACGUUAUAAAGGUGAUUCUGCUAUUAUUCCUGUGAUGCCAUACCCAUACAGAGGGCGGUUAACAAAGUAUCUUAGGAAACAAAAUCUUCAGUCUGCAUUAACUCGGAAAGAAAUGAAGGAAAGAAAGGAAUUUUUACCUAGUUGAGUAAGAUUUGAAAAAUCCCUGGAGAAGUCUUUCGUCGACGCUUGGAAAAACUCGGAAAAAUCAGCAGUAGUUGGUGGUGGUGAUGGACUUUCUAGCGUAAAUGAAGCAGGUGAUGGCAAACAACUAGAUGAUGCAGGACUCAUUGAAGAACUAGGAGUUCCCACAUCUAUAUACCUAUAAAGUAAAGUUAAGAAGAGCUGCAAUAAUCUGUUCAGCUAGAGUGAGGACACGACUAUCAUCAGGAGUGGCAAGCCCUGCCAUCUCUGAACUAAGGGAUUCUCGACGGCUUGCAUAGCUACUGUCCACUCCUGUAGUGGAAAGGUGAG